CCAGAGACCAGCACCUACACACAGACUGGCAGGUCACUGAGACCCUGCUCUCCUUCCCUGCAUAUCAAACCCAGACUAAUAAUCCCCUUUCCAGCUCCAGCUCCAGCCCCAGCUCCAGCUCUAGCUCCAGCUCUAGAUAUUACCUCCACCAAAUUCCUGAAAAACCCCUGGAAAAACCCCCAGAGGACCUACCCCAGUGCUCUGCACUCUGUACAGUAGACAGGCUCAGCUCUGGUUUUGCUGAUGAGCUAAAAUAUAACCUCCUUAAACCCCAGCGGAGCAGCAUUUAGUCUCCGGUGCAAAAUCCCCUGGGGCGGAGGACUAAGUGGUGAAAACAACUGAGGACAUGCCUGCACGGUCCAACUCACUCCUCUGCAGAGAGCAAGAUGGAGCAAGCUGUGAAGAACUGCUUUCUCAAACAUCUCUUAUUUAUUAGCCAUGCCAGCCCAGUUCUGCCAGGAUAAUUAUGCUGGGCACAGCAGCUAUCCUGUGCCCAACUCCCAGACUGGCACAGUAUGUGUCUGCUCAGGGAUCCUUCAGCUGUAAUCUGUUUCUAAUCUAAUCCCCAGAGCACAGGGUCUGGAAAAUAAAGUUUUCUGCCUCCAGCCAUGCUGUGAGGCUCCCUGCUGUCUCGCUA